GGCACGCUGAGGGGGUUUAGGGUAGUGAGCACCAAGGGUAGAACACUGACACCAGCAGGUCCAGGGAGUCAGAAAUGGGUUGGGGGUAGCAAGUGCCGAUAGCAACGAAUGACGUCAUGACAGUGAGGUGGAGCAGGCAGAUGGAGAAGGCUUUGGUCCUGUCCUCGCUGGAUCACAUCCUCAGCAGGGCCAAGAAGAUGUGGACAUAAGACAGAAGGAUGGAUAUGAAGUAGCCCGGAGCCAAAGUGACUCACGCUACCAGAGUACAGACGUCGGGCCGGGCCUCUCCCGGGAACAUGAGUUUGAGCAACUGGGGAACAUCACAGAAGAACUGGUGGAUGACACAAGGACAGCAGAAGUGGGAGGAGAAGGUGGCAGCCAUUUCCAUCAGGGUGUAGAGGCCACUGGUGAGCCAGGAGGUGGUCACCAUCUUACCACAGGCUCUUCGGUUAAUGAUGAUGUCAUAGAGCUGGGGGCGGCAGGUGGACACAUAGUAGUCAUAGGACAUCACCGUGAGGAAGGCCCUGUUCGCAGCACCAAAUAUCACGAAGGACAACACUUGGGAAAUGCAGCUCAAGAAGGAGACGAUCGCUCAGGGCACUGAGGAUGGAUUUGGGGAGGGUGACGGAGAUGAGGCAGAGGUUAAGGAUGGACAGGUGCUUGAGGAAGAAGUAAAAGGAGGUGUGGAGGUGCCGGGAAGAGGGCAAUGACGGCGUCGAUGAGGUCGUCCAAGGCCCCUUUGAAGGAGUCAAAGGGUAGUGGCCAUGAGGCUUAAUCUUCUGUGGACUAUCCUGUUCUCCCACCUCUGUGGGGUCCAGUGCGUGAUCGUCUACCGUCCCUGCACCUUGGAGAGAAACUAUUCCAGUGGCUACUACCAGGAUCGAGAUGUGGUGAUCGGAGGACUCAUCUGUCUUGAUUUGAUUCCGGGUCAUUUCACUAUCUUUGAGAACUUCACGGAACCGCCAUCAAUCAGUGCCACACCCACGGAAUACUUCACCAACCACUACUAGCAUCUCCUGGCCCUGGUGAUUGCCGUGGAGGAGAUCAACAAGGACACCAGCCUGUUACCCAGUAUCUCCCUGUGUUUCUACCUCUUGGACGUCCACUUCCUCGUGAUGUUCCGUGCCGAGAGCUCCAUGGCUCUGUUCUCGAGGAGAGCCGGUAAGGUCUCCAGCUACAGCUUCGAGAUGGAGCAACGGGACAAAUUGCUGGCUGUCAUAGGAGGGAUGACCUCCGGAGUGACCACGACUGGUUCCUGGCUGCUGGGACUCUAUAACCUCCCCCAGGAACUCGCUUUCUCCCUCCCCUUUGUAGGGAGCAGAAUGAUGCCCUGGGAUUUCUACAUCAUUUCCUGUCUUCCUCCGCCCCCCCCCCCCCCGCGCCCCGGUCAUGUCCCUACAUAGCAGGGCAGAAAGUCUCCAUACACUGCCUCUCUCCCUCUUCCCCUCCUCGCACAGACUCCUUCCCCCCCCCACUCCAUGCCAGCCGGGAUUCAGGAACACAGCUCGGGAAGUGAAAGUCAUUUGCUGCUACGACUGCGCACUGUGCGCCAAGGGAGAGAUCAGCAAUCAAACUGAACGUGCGUCGCCCAGGGACCAGAACUUCAUGCCUCAUCCCAGGCAAGGUGGGAAAUCCUAUUUACUCUUUUCAGAUAUGGAUCAGUGCUCAGGUGCCCUGAAGAUGAGUUUCCAAAUCCUCAAGGAGAUCAGUGUGUCCCAGGAGCCGUGGUCUUCCUUUCCUAUGAGGAGCCUCUAGGAAUGGUUCUGGCAUCCUCAGCCUUCUGUCUCUCUCUCUCCUCACUGCCCCGGUUUCGGGGGUCUUCAUCCGCCAUCGGGAUACCCCCAUAGUGAAAGCUAAUAAACGCGGUCUCAGUUACGCCCUCCUCACUGCC